rnacentral:tRNA from 1 species
GGUAAGAUGGCUGGGUAAGCAUCAGGCUAUAAAUCUAAAUCCAGAGGUUUAAGUCCUCUUCUUACCA